ensembl:lncRNA
GGUGACUUCAAUCCUUUAGGCUAACUGUAAAGCCUAAUUCAAGGAGUUAUUUGAUUUGCAGUUAAGAGAAAAGCCUGGUUUCUCACACGUUCCUCCUCCCUUUUCCAAAGGAACCUACGUAGCAAAACAAAAUCACUGAAAGAGUGGCCGUGGUGAUGUAGUAGUAUGCUGUAUGUUUCAUCUGAAUUCAACAGGAAAAAUAAGUAGAACAAUAGCAGUGUCCAGACAGCUAAUAAAUACACGUAAUACUGACUGUUGUUUGGUCCGACGUGACUGUUUGAUCACCUGGUGAUUUACUGACUUCACUGGUAAUGCUGUCAGAAAUCAAAAGGAGGAUGUGGAAACACUUCUGAAUAUUUAUGGAACGCUUCAACUUCUUCAUUUCUUACAUAGUCAAACAGCAGUCAAAACUUCUACAGAGCUAAAUGACCUGUUUCUGUUUCACUGAAUUCCUUUUGCAUUUCAAUUGUAAACUUGAGGAUUAAAGAAUUUCCUUUUUAUUCACACCAGCUUUUCUUCCUUUCAAAGACGAAGGGUUAUAGGACAGUAGCAGCUGCAAGAGAAAGAUUCUUUUUUUUAGUGACAGUAGUAGACCUCUUGCUGAAUUUGGAGAUUAUGAAGUGGAGCUGUACAUGCUUUCAUUAGGGAAGCUCGGCUACGUGAGGAGAAAGCCAACUACUGUUUUGUUAGGCGGCUCAGACGUCUGGAGGCUUUCGUACAAGACUGGGAACUCAGCGCAUGGGGAAUGAAUGAAGUUCACAAAAGAAGAGGUCUCCACAGCUGGAGCUGCUUGAGGCACCCUGGCUCACUCCAGCAUGCUCUCCUUCAAAUGCUAAGGAAAAAAAACCUACACCUUCCCCAAGGAAUUCGCAGUAAGACCAAACACUUGUAAAAAUAUAUUUUGUCAGUAGAAAAGCUUACCUCUGCACAAAGCAUCUUGUUGACUCGCAUUUGUCUUGUGUGUAUUAGUAAACCUGAGUUGCCAUUGACUGCACGUAACUCAGGGGAGCAGGGAACCCAAGGAUCACUCUCUCUUCACAAAGGGACAUGGCUAAAACAGGAUUAUUUUCCUGUUAUGUUAACAACAGGUUAAAAGAAGCAUGUGGAGGGGAUCUGAUGGGUUUUAGUUUUUCACUGGAAGGAGAGAGAGGGUUCAGGUUUUUCUUAUGUCCUUUCCAUUUUUCCCAGGACCUUCCUUGAAGUUUGAAAUGGCUCUCAUUUGCUGUGGCAGUGAGAAGAAGAAGGGGAAGCAAACAGCUGUCUACGAGAGGCAGGUCAGGGGCCUCUAAUCUUCCAUUUUAUACAUACAAGAUUAAAGAUCUGCUUUGAGUUUUGAUUAAGAAUGCAAAGUUAAAAGAUUAAAUACCAGCAAGCCAAAUUAAAGAGGUUUAAGUCAAUCUCGGAACUCAUCAAAGUACCAAAUUUUUAAGCUGUCAUUACAACACAGGAUUAGUGCAAAGCUUCCCUGAACCCUGAUUUGAUGUCCUUCAGUCAACAAUGUUAUUCUCCCCUCAUUUUGUGCUCUUGGCAUAAAACCAGCUAUUGUCUUGUAUUUAAGCUCAUCUCACCUAUGUCCUUCUUUGUCUUUUUUCUGCUUUUUUUUUUUUCCCUGCCCGUGGCCCUGUUAAUCAAGGAACCUGUUUUUUUGUGUGACCUACAGCUUAGCAAUAUACUGUUCUGUAUUAUGCAUUGUCACGAAAUGCGUUAACGCUUAGUAAAUUCGCCUGUUUCAGAAAAAAAAUGCCUUAGUCACCAUGAUUAUUAUAAACUAUUUCUGUGAAUCCCAAGCAGUAAAUAGUUCCUGCAGCCUGCAUGCAUUUCAGCAGAUUGAUUCCAAAAGUUAAAGAAGAGAAAAAAUGUAUUGCAUUCCUAG